CCCUUAGAUGUUCUGGGCUGCACGCGCGCUACAAUGAUGAAUUCAACGAGUUUAUAACCUUGGUUGAAAAGCCUGGGUAAUCUUUUGAACUUUCGUCGUGAUGGGGCUAGACCCUUGCAAUUAUUGGUCUCCAACGAGGAAUUCCUAGUAAACGCAAGUCAUCAGCUUGCAUUGAUUACGUCCCUGCCCUUUGUACACACCGCCCGUCGCACCUACCGAUUGAAUGGUCCGGUGAAAUCUUCGGAUUGAGACUUUGAUUUCUUCACGGAAAACGCUGUUUUAAGAAGUUGAUUAAACCUUACCAUUUAGAGGAAGGUGAAGUCGUAACA
rnacentral:rRNA from 1 species